CAAAAAUGCUUUAACACAUUAUAUCAAUUCAAAAAUCAGAUUAAAACAACAAAAAGUAAUAAAAACCUAAACGUGCAAACCCCAUCAUAUGAUAAUGGUCAAAAUGAUAAGGAUUUAUUUUUAGAGAGUUGUAACUUUUCAGAUAAACCCAGCAGCUCUUGGCGAAGUGUUUGCUCAUUCUGCCAGUCAGAGGACUGACCUCAGACUUUGGUCAAGGUUUGGUAACACUAAAACUAAGUCCAGUGAAUGCUACAUUACAAUGUUGACUUCAA